rnacentral:rRNA from 1 species
UGCAGUCGAACGAGAAAGAGUUCCUUCGGGAACUUGAGUAGAGUGGCGCACGGGUGAGUAACGCGUAGAUAUCUACCCUUAUAUAUGGAAUAACUGGGCGAAAGCUCAGCUAAUACCGUAUACGCUUUUCCGGGCGCGAGACCGGGGGAGGAAAGGUGGCCUCUGAUUCAAGCUAUCGUAUAAGGAUGAGUCUGCGUACCAUUAGCUAGUAGGUGGGGUAAUAGCCCACCUAGGCGACGAUGGUUAGCGGGUCUGAGAGGAUGAUCCGCCACACUGGAACUGGAACACGGACCAGACUCCUACGGGAGGCAGCAGUGAGGAAUUUUGCGCAAUGGGGGUAACCCUGACGCAGCGACGCCGCGUGGGUGAUGAAGGCUUUCGAGUCGUAAAGCCCUGUCAAGUGGGAAGAACCGUCAAUAUGCUAAUACCAUGUUGAUCUGACGGUACCACUAAAGGAAGCACCGGCUAACUCCGUGCCAGCAG